UCAAACAAAUAAAACGUGAGAGAGGAGAGAAAGGAGAAGACUUGAACUCAAGUUGAGGGGUUUGCUAGGAAGUAAAGGAAUUGGACUUAGAGACUCAAGAAUUAAGCCUCUAGCUCUCACUUUGGAAAGCCUAGGUCAAGCACUGUAAGCCAUUUGGUCUGCUCUGUCCGUUUGCGUUUGGAGCCAUCUGUGAGCAGGCGCGUGACCAGGUCUAAGCUGCUGCUUGGAGAGUUUUGGGUCAAUCAGCCACCGUGCUUCUCAAAGAGGUUCCCAUUUGAGAAGUCAAGUUUUGUGAACCAUGUCAAGGAUGUUUUGUUAUUUUGUUUUUGUUUAUCUGUACGUUGGGCUAAGUCCCUUAUGAUACUACCUGUAUAGUGAUGCAAGACUUAAGGGAGUUUGAUGUCACUUAUGUAUGUAUAUAUUUCAGUUUUGAAAUUUCUAUUCCAUGUAUGUCUACAUAGCUCAAUGGACUAUGUAUAUUUCAUAUAUUUGCUUCCGCUGCCCUAUACUAUGUCAUAAUCUAUUCAGAGGCCAUUGGUAAUCCAAGGAUUACUGGCCGAUUACGAUGCUAAACCUAUAGAGGCGGGUUUGGGUUGUGACAGCUACGAAUUUAAAUUUUCAGCCAAUGGAGAUGCUAAACAACAUAUAAAUGGCACAUGGAGAGGAAGUUAACAAAGACGCGGUUAUUAGCAGUUAUACAUGCACAAAGAGGAGUUCAUGGCCUCGAGGAGUAGCAAAGGAGAAGGAGAUCACGGUAGAAGAUAACAACCUAACUGCUUUGAAUGCGCAAAGAAGAGACUAUAAAUAGAUAAAAGCAAAGACUGAAGAAGCCCCUGACCAAAUCGAAACUCUACGUCUUUGUCAAUUUUAUUUAUUUUUGAAAUUUCUGCACUUUACUUUCUUGCACUGCACUUACUUUUCGUAGGAGUAGAUUAGUCUUGUAAUUUUAGA